UACGUAGGGUGCAAACGUUGCUCGGAAUUAUUGGGCGUAAAGCGCACGUAGGCGGCUUAGCAAGUCGGAUGUGAAAGCCCUCGGCUCAACCAAGGAAGUGCAUCCGAAACUGCUGAGCUUGAGUACUUAAGAGGAUCGCGGAAUUCCCGGUGUAGAGGUGAAAUUCGUAGAUAUCGGGAGGAACACCAGUGGCGAAGGCGGCGUCUGGGAAGAUACGUGACGCUGAGGCACGAAAGCGAUGGGGA
rnacentral:rRNA from 1 species